rnacentral:rRNA from 1 species
GCUUGUCUCAAAGAUUAAGCCAUGCAUGUCUAAGUAUAAACAACUUUAUACUGUAAAACUGCGAACGGCUCAUUAUAUCAGCAAUAAUUUAUUUGAUGGUUUCUUACCCCAUGGAUAACUGUGGUAAUUCUAGAGCUAAUACAUGCGAAAAAUCUCGACUCACGGAGAGAUGCUUUUAUUAGAUCAAAACCAAACGGCUUCGGCCGUCUCAUUGGUGACUCUGAAUAACUUUGGGCUGAUCGUAUGGCCUUGUGCCGACGACGUUUCCUUCGAAGGUGUGCCCUAUCAACUGUCGACUGUGAUAUAGACGCUCACAGUGGUUUUGACGGGUAACGGGGAAUCAGGGUUCGAUUCCGGAGAGGGAGCCUUAAAAACGGCUACCACAUCCAAGGAAGGCAGCAGG